CACGUAGGGUGCGAGCGUUGUCCGGAAUUAUUGGGCGUAAAGAGCUCGUAGGCGGUGUGUCGCGUCGGCCGUGAAAACCUGUGGCUUAACCAUGGGCUUGCGGUCGAUACGGGCAUCACUGGAGUUCGGCAGGGGAGACUGGAAUUCCUGGUGUAGCGGUGAAAUGCGCAGAUAUCUGGAGGAACACCGGUGGCGAAGGCGGCAUCCUGGACCAAUAUUGACGCUGAGGAGCGAAAGCCAGGGGAGCAAACGGG
rnacentral:rRNA from 1 species